UACGUAGGGUGCAAGCGUUGUCCGGAAUUAUUGGGCGUAAAGAGCUCGUAGGCGGUCUGUCGCGUCGGAUGUGAAAACCCAGGGCUCAACCCUGGGCCUGCAUUCGAUACGGGCAGACUAGAGUUCGGUAGGGGAGACUGGAAUUCCUGGUGUAGCGGUGAAAUGCGCAGAUAUCAGGAGGAACACCGGUGGCGAAGGCGGGUCUCUGGGCCGAAACUGAUAUUGAGGGACGAAAGCUAGGGGAGCGAAUGGG
rnacentral:rRNA from 1 species